UUUAUUAAGGAGUAAAAUUAUAAGAAAUAUAAAAAUUAUGGCGGUGUUUUAUUUAUAAUAGAGAAAUUUGUCGCAUAAAUGAUAAUCCACGAGAGGAUAAACUUAUUUUUAAGCUUAUGUAUGUUCAUAUUAAAGUUGUUUUAUAAAAAUAUAACUGAUAUUUUUUAAAGUUAUUGUGGAAAAAAGUAAUUUAGAUCAAUAUGUAGCAAUAAAUAAGAGUUAGAUGAAUUACAUUUAUAGAUUUGAUUAUUAAUUUUAAUAUUAAUAUGAAAUAGAAUUUAUUAGUAAAUUUUAUAAAUUAAUAAAAUUGAAAUUUAAUUUAGAACAUGUACAAAUCGCCCGUCACUUCUAUUUAAAUUAGAAGAAGUCGUAACAAAGUAAAUGUACUGGAAAGUGUAUUUAGGGUAA
rnacentral:rRNA from 1 species